UGCUACGGCGAAACAUGUUUGAACUUGUUCAGAAUUGUAUGAAUGAAUUCUUUAAAGAGUUGUAAAAGUUGCUGCUCCCAUCAAAUUUGGAAUAUUAUAAAGAAUUAUAAUAUUCCAUCAUUUCCUCCUGUCUACAAUCCUUUUUUAAUCCGAAACAGCAGGUGGCAGGCACGAGUUUUUCAAUUUGGAGAGGAGGACGAAAUGCUAGACAAUGGCUGAGGAAAAUUUACUGGAAUGCCCAAGUUUUCCAGAAAUUUGGAACCAAGAAACAUUUCAGCUGUUUUAUGAUAAGU